rnacentral:rRNA from 1 species
AUUGAACGCUGGCGGCAGGCCUAACACAUGCAAGUCGAGCGAGAGGCGGACGGGUGAGAAAUGCCUGGGAAUUGCCCAGUCGCGGGGGAUAACAGUUGGAAACGACUGCUAAUACCGCACACGAUUGGAUUGCUCAGGUGGGAUUAGCUAGUUGGUGAGGUAAUGGCACACCAAGGCGACGAUCCAUAGCCGGUCUGUGAGGAUGAUCAGCCACACUAGAACGGAGACACGAUCCAGACUCCUACUGGAGGCUACAGUGGAUAAUAUUGCACAGUGGGGAAAGCGCUAGUGCGGGCAUGCCGCGUGUGUGAAGAAGGCCUUCGUGUUGUAAAGCACUUUCAGCGGGGAGGCGUUACACGCAGAAAAAGCACCGGCUGACUCCGUGCCAGCAGCCGCGGUAAUUC